CUCACCUGGAGGAAUAUGAUGGCUGCCACCCCCUGGCGGAGCAGUGUGUCCUGGAUGUGUGACUGAGUACGGGAUCUGAAGGCCGUGGAGUCCUCUGGUAAAAUGUUGUACUUGGGGAUGAUGUGCAAGCUCUUACUGGUUGUCACUGGCAUGUCUAGGUUGGGGCAGCAGAGCCAUCGCACUGGUCAAGUCCUCAGUCAUCCUCCACAACUCAAGUGCUGCCUUGGGCUUAAGCCAUCUGUGGGAGUGGACUGGGCAACUUCAUGUAGCAAACCUGAAGGCACUAAAAGUGUGUGAAAGCUGCAGGAAGGACUGCAGAGCAGUGCUGCUUUGUCUCAGCUCGGUGGGAGCACUAUAAAGGUCAGCAUGGUAUUUGGUUUGGGACACGUGCCUUCGCAGCAACAACUUGCUUUUAAAGGUCAGCAACACAACUGACCUCAAACCACCCUCAAGAAUUCAUUCAGGUUACAACUGAAGCAAGUGACAAGCGUCUUUUGAAAACACCUCCAUAAAUUUAAGAGAUGCUAAAGUAUUAAAUAUUAAAAUCGGUAGGAUUUUAAGUGCAAAUCACUUUCACAAGCUGGAGUCCCAGUAAAGGUACCAGCUCUGUGGCUUCUUAGCAAGUUUCAUCAUGCGUAGCUGAGACUGCUCUUAUUCUUCAGUAAAUAGCACUGAACUGCUGAGGGGAAGGAACUGAUCUUAACAGUUACACAAAAAUAAGUAAGGCAAGACUGAUUUUUAGGAAUUGUGUUAGUGUUGCUUUAACUUCCAACAUAUUUGUCAACCAACUUGAAAAAUAAUUCAAAGCUCACUCCUCAGUUUAGCUGGAACCACUAGAGGAAAAAAUUUGUCUUCUACCGGGAAUAAGUCAUCUAUUAAAGCAAACAAGGAGACUCCCUUACUGACCUGAAGUGCUCCAAGAUUAUCUUAUUUCUACUAUUCUAAUUCAAAAGCUGAGCUAAACUCUCCCGGGGGAGGGAGUUACACAGUGUCAAGUAAAUGGAGACAACGCUUAAUAAAGCUCACAACACCUCUAUUAGCUGUACUUAAGUGUGUUUGUUUUUUUUUUUUUUUAUUAAUAAGACUAAUGCAUCACAACCUCAGAAUGUUUUGGUUGGUCUUGCUACUGCUACUUUCCUUUUUCUGGAGCAAAGCGACAGCAAUUGCAUGCUCUGAGAAAGAGGAGGUGCCUGCCAGUUCUUGACUGAACGCCCAAACAAAUGCUGCUUAGGAGGCAGCUUGGCUCAGCGUGUCCAUUUAAGUGCAUCUGGGCUGAGCAGCUCAGUCAGCAGAACAGCUCUGGCCUGUAGGAAGUUGGGAUUGUUUUAAGGAUUAUAGGUAUGUCUUCUAUA
rnacentral:lncRNA from 1 species